GAUGAACGCUGGCGGCGUGCCUAAUACAUGCAAGUAGAACGCUGAAGGAAGGAGCUUGCUCUUUCCGGAUGAGUUGCGAACGGGUGAGUAACGCGUAGGUAACCUGCCUGGUAGCGGGGGAUAACUAUUGGAAACGAUAGCUGAUACCGCAUAACAGUAGAUGUUGUAUGAUAUCUACUUAAAAGGUGCAAUUGCACCACUACCAGAUGGACCUGCGUUGUAUUAGCUAGUUGGUGAGGUAACGGCUCACCAAGGCGACGAUACAUAGCCGACCUGAGAGGGUGAUCGGCCACACUGGGACUGAGACACGGCCCAGACUCCUACGGGAGGCAGCAGUAGGGAAUCUUCGGCAAUGGACGGAAGUCUGACCGAGCAACGCCGCGUGAGUGAAGAAGGUUUUCGGAUCGUAAAGCUCUGUUGUAAGAGAAGAACGAGUGUGAGAGUGGAAAGUUCACACUGUGACGGUAUCUUACCAGAAAGGGACGGCUAACUACGUG
rnacentral:rRNA from 1 species